CGUGGACAAUGGGGGGCGGAGUCCACCGGCGGGAUGGGGAACAAUGGGUCCAAUCAAUUCCGGAGCCUCCUCACUUGUUCUAAAGGUGAAAUUCCUGAAAACAUGUCGGGGAGGUUCACGAGUUGGAACAGGUUUGUAUGAGUUGGUGUGGGUCCAGCACACCGCCGAGCACAGGGGACCUGGGCUAGGCCCAUCGCCACCUCCUCUGCAGCCUCUGGAUGACCGUGAGCAGCAUGAGGCCUUCUAGGGGCUUCGGCCCCCACAGCUUGCGGGGCCUGGGGACAAGUGAGGCCCCUGACACCACUUGAGGGGCCGGAGCAGUGAUGGGAACAGAGGGGAUCAGCACACCUCUCUUCCCCAACUUGGCCCCAGAGAGACGCCCUCGCCGCUCAGAUUCUCUGAUGGGGACCCUUUGACAGCUCUGUAACGCCACAGGCUUAGCUGCAUCAUCCUCACAACCACCUCUGGGAGGUGGGGGAAAGGCCCACUUCACAGAUGGGUAAGUGGAGGCCCAGAAAGGUCCAGUGGGUCA